CGAGGAAUGCCUAGUAAGCGCGAGUCAUCAGCUCGCGUUGACUACGUCCCUGCCCUUUGUACACACCGCCCGUCGCUCCUACCGAUUGAAUGGUCCGGUGAAGUGUUCGGAUCGCGGCGACGGGGCGCGUUCGCCGCCCCCGACGUCGCGAGAAGUCCAUUGAACCUUAUCAUUUAGAGGAAGGAGAAGUCGUAACAAGGUUUCCGUAGGUGAACCUGCGGAAGGAUCAUUG
rnacentral:ncRNA from 1 species